rnacentral:rRNA from 1 species
UACGUAGGCAGCAAGCGUUGUUCGGAGUUACUGGGCGUAAAGAGUGCGUAGGCGGUCUUUUAAGUUUGGUGUGAAAUCUCCCGGCUCAACUGGGAGGGUGCGCCGAAAACUGGGAGGCUUGAGGAUGGGAGAGGCAUGCGGAAUUCCUGGUGUAGCGGUGAAAUGCGUAGAUAUCAGGAGGAACACCUGCGGUGUAGACAGCAUGCUGGACCAUUUCUGACACUGAGGCACGAAAGCGUGGGUAGCAAACAGG